AAGUUUCUGUGAGUAAUAAAAUUUUAAAAAUGUAAAAGUUGAAGAGAGAAGCAAAUUGGGUUCUUUGCCACCAUUCCGAACAAAAUGUUUUUAGAAAUUUUUGUCUGGCGUGCAACCUUUCCAUUUGUCUCUUUUAUCUUUGUAUUUUUUUUUUAGUUAUUUAUUAGAGAAUAAAUGUUUAAUCUUUUAGAUCUUUUUGGUAAGACUCUCACCUAUAGAUGUGCUCUAAGUCGAGAAAUAUUAAAGCUGAUAUAAUAUUUCUUAUUAUAUAUAUAUAUAUUUUUUUUUUUUUGAUUUGAUGAAACAAUAAGAAAGAUAGAGAGAAGUGAGACAACGACUUGAGAGAGUGAUAUGAUAGAACUUUUC
rnacentral:lncRNA from 1 species